rnacentral:rRNA from 1 species
UACGUAGGGUGCGAGCGUUAAUCGGAAUUACUGGGCGUAAAGCGUGCGCAGGCGGUUUUGUAAGCCAGAUGUGAAAUCCCCGGGCUUAACCUGGGAAUGGCAUUUGGGACUGCAAGGCUCGAGUGCGGCAGAGGAGACUGGAAUUCCUGGUGUAGCAGUGAAAUGCGUAGAUAUCAGGAGGAACACCAGUGGCGAAGGCGAGUCCCUGGACAAUUCCUGACACUGAGGCACGAAAGCUAGGGGAGCAAACAGG